rnacentral:rRNA from 1 species
UACGGGGGGGGCAAGCGUUUGUUCGGAAUUACUGGGCGUAAAGGGCUCGUAGGUGGCCAACUAAGUCAGACGUGAAAUCCCCAGGCUCAACUUGGGAACUGCGUCUGAUACUGGAUGGCUUGAAUUCGGGAGAGGGAUGCAGAAUUCCAGGUGUAGCGGUGAAAUGCGUAGAUAUCUGGAGGAAUACCGGUGGCGAAGGCGGCAUCCUGGACCGAGAUUGACACUGAUGAGCGGAAAGCUAGGGGAGCAAACGGG